rnacentral:tRNA from 1 species
UUUAAUUAAACUAAUUCUUGA